CAGCAGCCGCGGUAACACGAAGGGUGCAAGCGUUAAUCGGAAUUACUGGGCGUAAAGCGUGCGUAGGCGGUGAGUUAAGUCUGCUGUGAAAUCCCCGGGCUCAACCUGGGAAUGGCAGUGGAUACUGGCUCGCUAGAGUGUGUCAGAGGAUGGUGGAAUUCCCGGUGUAGCGGUGAAAUGCGUAGAGAUCUGGAGGAAUACCGGUGGCGAAGGCAGCCCCCUGGACAAAGACUGACGCUCAGGUGCGAAAGCGUGGGGAGCAAACAGGAUUAGAUACCCGCGUAGUCCCUGUCUCUUAUAC
rnacentral:rRNA from 1 species